AAAAGGAGACUGGAGCCCCUCAGUGAGGAUGGGAGUUCAGGUGUAGAUGAUCAGAGUCCAGGAAAAAGCCUGGUGCUGAGGCCCUCACAGAAGAAGAAAAGAUGUAAAAAGUCCAAGACAGUGGAAGCAAUGGAUGGAGAUUCUGACCUCUUCUCCCCAAAAG